GUACACACCGCCCGUCACACCAUGGGAGUGGGUUGCUCCAGAAGUAGCUAGUCUAACCGCAAGGGGGACGGUUACCACGGAGUGAUUCAUGACUGGGGUGAAGUCGUAACAAGGUAGCCGUAGGGGAACCUGCGGCUGGAUCACCUCCUUA
rnacentral:rRNA from 1 species